ensembl:snRNA U4 U4 spliceosomal RNA
AGCUUUGUGCAGUGGCAGUAUCGUAGCCAAUGAGGUUUAUCCGAGGCGCGGUUAUUGCUAAUUGAAAACUUUUCCUAAUACCCCGCCAUGACGACUUGCAAUAUAGUCGGCAUUGGCAAUUUUUGACGGUCCCUACGGGGA